rnacentral:rRNA from 1 species
CAAGUCGAGCGGGGUAUGUAGCUUGCUACAUUACCUAGCGGCGGACGGGUGAGUAAUGCUUAGGAAUCUGCCUAUUAGUGGGGGACAACAUUCCGAAAGGAAUGCUAAUACCGCAUACGCCCUACGGGGGAAAGCAGGGGAUCUUCGGACCUUGCGCUAAUAGAUGAGCCUAAGUCAGAUUAGCUAGUUGGUGGGGUAAAGGCCUACCAAGGCGACGAUCUGUAGCGGGUCUGAGAGGAUGAUCCGCCACACUGGGACUGAGACACGGCCCAGACUCCUACGGGAGGCAGCAGUGGGGAAUAUUGGACAAUGGGCGAAAGCCUGAUCCAGCCAUGCCGCGUGUGUGAAGAAGGCCUUUUGGUUGUAAAGCACUUUAAGCGAGGAGGAGGCUACUUAGAUUAAUACUCCAGGAUAGUGGACGUUACUCGCAGAAUAAGCACCGGCUAACUCUGUGCCAGCAGCCGCGGU